AACUCAAAGGAAUUGACGGGGACCCGCACAAGCGGUGGAGCAUGUGGUUUAAUUCGAUGCAACGCGAAAAACCUUACCACUCCUUGACAUGGAGAUUAGAUCCUUCUUAACGGAAGGGCGCAGUUCGGCUGGAUCUCGCACAGGUGCUGCAUGGCUGUCGUCAGCUCGUGUCGUGAGAUGUUGGGUUAAGUCCCGCAACGAGCGUAACCCUCAUCCUUAGUUGCCAGCGGGUAAUGCCGGGCACUUUAAGGAAACUGCCGGUGGUAAACUGGAGGAAGGUGGGGAUGAUGUCAAGUCAGCACGGCCCUUAUGGGGUGGGCUACACACGUGCUACAAUGGUGACUACAAUAGGUUGCAAUGUCGCAAGGCUGAGCUAAUCCGUAAAAGUCAUCUCAGUUCGGAUUGUCCUCUGCAACUCGAGGGCAUGAAGUCGGAAUCGCUAGUAAUCGUGGAUCACCAUGCCACGGUGAAUACGUUCUCGGGUCUUGUACACACUGCCCGUCACGCCAUGGGAAUUGGCUUAACUCGAAGCUGGUGCGC
rnacentral:rRNA from 1 species